rnacentral:rRNA from 1 species
UACGUAGGGUGCAAUCGUUAAUCGGAAUUACUGGGCGUAAAGCGUGCGCAGGCGGUUAUGUAAGACAGAUGUGAAAUCCCCGGGCUCAACCUGGGAACUGCAUUUGUGACUGCAUAGCUAGAGUACGGUAGAGGGGGAUGGAAUUCCGCGUGUAGCAGUGAAAUGCGUAGAUAUGCGGAGGAACACCGAUGGCGAAGGCAAUCCCCUGGACCUGUACUGACGCUCAUGCACGAAAGCGUGGGGAGCAAACAGG